rnacentral:rRNA from 1 species
GAUGAACGCUAGCUACAGGCUUAACACAUGCAAGUCGAGGGGCAGCAUGAACUUAGCUUGCUAAGUUUGAUGGCGACCGGCGCACGGGUGAGUAACACGUAUCCAACCUGCCGAUGACUCGGGGAUAGCCUUUCGAAAGAAAGAUUAAUACCCGAUGGCAUAGUUCUUCCGCAUGGUAGAACUAUUAAAGAAUUUCGGUCAUCGAUGGGGAUGCGUUCCAUUAGGUUGUUGGCGGGGUAACGGCCCACCAAGCCUUCGAUGGAUAGGGGUUCUGAGAGGAAGGUCCCCCACAUUGGAACUGAGACACGGUCCAAACUCCUACGGGAGGCAGCAGUGAGGAAGAUUGGUCAAUGGACGAGAGUCUGAACCAGCCAAGUAGCGUGAAGGAUGACUGCCCUAUGGGUUGUAAACUUCUUUUAUACGGGAAUAAAGUGAGGCACGUGUGCCUUUUUGUAUGUACCGUAUGAAUAAGGAUCGGCUAACUCCGUG